rnacentral:rRNA from 1 species
UGCAAGUCAACUUGACUGAAGGAGCAUCUGACAGUAGAGUGGCGCAAGGGUGCGUAACGCGUAAGUAACUUGCCCAAGGUAAGGAAUAACGUCGAGAAAUCGGCGCUAAUACCUCAUAAUGCAGCGGAUCCGCAUGGAUAUGUUGUUAAAGGUUUACCGCCUUGGGAUAGGCUUGCGUCUGAUUAGCUAGUUGGUGUGGUAACGGCACACCAGGGCUACGAUCAGUAACUGGUCUGAGAGGAUGAUCAGUCACACUGGAACUGAGACACGGUCCAGACUCCUACGGGAGGCAGCAGUGAGGAAUAUUGGGCAAUGCUCGAAAGAGUGACCCAGCAACGCCGCGUGGAGGAUGAAGGUAUUCUAUAUCGUAAACUCCUGUGAGAGCAGACGAAAGACAGAUUAUUAAUCUGGAUGACUGUAUGCUCAGAGGAAGCCCCGGCUAACUACGUG